ACAUACGUAACACCGGACUGUUAACGUGU
rnacentral:sRNA from 1 species